UACGUAGGGGGCAAGCGUUGUCCGGAUUUAUUGGGCGUAAAGAGCUCGUAGGCGGUUUCGUAAGUCGAGUGUGAAAAAUCUGGGCUCAACCCAGUGGAGCACUUGAUACUGCGAUGACUGGAGUACGGUAGAGGAGUGUGGAAUUCCUGGUGUAGCGGUGAAAUGCGCAGAUAUCAGGAGGAACACCAACGGCGAAGGCAGCACUCUGGGCCGGUACUGACGCGGAGGAGCGAAAGCGUGGGGAGCAAACAGG
rnacentral:rRNA from 1 species